rnacentral:rRNA from 1 species
UACGAAGGGGGCUAGCGUUGCUCGGAAUCACUGGGCGUAAAGGGUGCGUAGGCGGGUUUUUAAGUCAGGGGUGAAAUCCUGGAGCUCAACUCCAGAACUGCCUUUGAUACUGAAGAUCUUGAGUCCGGGAGAGGUGAGUGGAACUGCGAGUGUAGAGGUGAAAUUCGUAGAUAUUCGCAAGAACACCAGUGGCGAAGGCGGCUCACUGGCCCGGAACUGACGCUGAGAUGCGAAAGCGUGGGGAGCAAACAGG